rnacentral:rRNA from 1 species
GAAUUUAAUUUUGGUUCCGAUUGAACGUUCUUCAGUAGUUUUAAGACAUGCAAAUCGUUUGUACAUGGUUAAUCAAUAUUAAUAAUAAUAUUAAUUAAAAUUAAGUAUAAAUUACUUAAAUUUAUGGUUUAAAUGUACAAGGUGUACGGGUGAGUAUUGUAAUUGAGAUACCCUUGUAGACUUCAGAAAUAGAAGAUAAUUCUUUUCCAAAAUAGUAUGUAUAAUACUUAUUAUUUUGAAGCUUAUUAAGACUUAAGAUAUCUUAAAAAGUAAAAAAGAAUAAAACAAAAGUAAACUUUUAAGAAAAGAAAGGGAAAUUUUCCGCAACAAGGAUUCAAUUUACAUUCGAUUAGGUAGUUGGAAGGGUAGAGGCCUCCCAAGCCGACGAUCGAUAGUCAAGUUUGAUAGAACUAAUGACCACAUUGGGAAUGAAAUACCCCAAGUAGCGUUUUGCUACCAGCAGUCAAGAAUAUUAGUCAAUGCUCGCAAGAGUGAACUAGCUAACUGAAAUCCUUGGUGUGUCAUCGAGGAUAAGGUAAGGGAAAAUAAUGAUAAUACCUUAUUAAUAGUGUCGUCCAACAUCUCGUGCCAGAAGACUCGGUAAGGCGAGAGACACAAACGUUAGUCGUCUUGAUCAGGCGUAAAGGGUUUGUAGGCGGCUUUAAGUAUCUAUUUUUAACAAUGUUAACACGAAAACCAUUCCGCCUUGUGAGUACGACUGCAAAGUUGAAAACAAAAAAAUUAGUCGGUUUCGGAGCAAACGAAGUGAAGCAUGUUAUUUAAUGCGAUAAUCCGCGUAAAACCUUACCAGUUCUUGUAUAUAAACUUUAUGCUUUUGUAUAAAGGAGUUUUUUACUAUUUAAUAAGAAUUAAAUAAUAAAAGCUUAUUACAGGUGUUGCAUGGCUGUCUUCAGUCCGUAUCGUGAGGUGUAAGGUUAAAUCCGUUAACGGACGCAAUCCCUAUUGUUAAUUUGUACUUAACAAUUCAUGAUUCUGAUAAAGUUUCAUUUGGGGCUAAGACAAGUCCUUAUGGCCCUAAUGAACUGGGCUAUAGACGUGCUAUAAUGAUUUUUACAAAGUGAAGCAAAACUCCUCUUAUCUUUUUUUAAAGAAAGUUUUAGUAUUUGACUUUAAAAUCAAUAAAACUUAAAAGAGCAAAAGGAUAAGCUAAUCAUUAAAAAAAAUCAAAAUAAUAAAUUAAUGUUACGAAUUGUCACCUGAAAUUCGGUGGCAUGAAGGAGGAAUUUCGAGUAAUCGUUGAUCAUUAGGCGCAACGGUGAAGCUUAAAUCCGAGAUGAACUAACUGUCUGUCGCUGGGAAGAAGCUUAUUUUGGUGGAAA